CUUUUCUCUGUGAGUAGAUACUGAAUUCCUAAUUCAGUUUCUUGAAUUUUUGAAGGUCUAUUCCGAAGUGGAAGAGUAGAUGGAGGCAUGAGAAGUUGAAGAGGUGCUUUCAAAAUACGGGGGAAAUCAUGUGCACGUGUCUCGAGGGUUGUUGAACUCACCAGGGAGGACACGAGCAGCCAGACAAAGCGGAGUAUGCUCUGUGCACCAGCUUCAGCAGAGUCCCAGGAACUUCCCAGCCUGUGCUUUUGAACCUCCACGUCGUGGGUCUGAGUGUUCGCUAAGGCUCUUCAGCAAGUACCUGUGGUGCCUCGCUCUCUCCUGCUCUGGGCUACAGAAUCCCAGGCCCGAGGAAGGCUGGCCUUUGACUGCAGCAUCUGCAAGGCAGUGACUUACACACGGGGACUUCCAGGUGGAGGAUACAGCAUGUGCGCAGC
rnacentral:lncRNA from 12 species